AAACAGAAGAAACGAUUUGAAUAUGUGUAAAAGGUUUUUGGGCAUACUGUAAUUCAGUCUAGUCCAUGAAGAUCAAACGUACAUACACAAUGAAAUAUUUCCAGGUUUAACAUGUUAAGAUUUAGUAAGCAGAAGACUUAUAAACAAAUAUUUAUUAUCAGUUACUGUUAAAUUUGCAUUGAAUGUUUGGACAUGGUGUAAAUUUUGGAAUUAUACUCUUAAUUAAAGCCUCCAUUGCAUUGUUAUCUUCUAGCUAGAACCUUGAAGCCUGGCAAGGAUUAUGAGACUGGAAACUCCCAUUGAGACUACCAAAUGAAGAGAAAGUUUCAGACUGUUUAACUCGGACUAAGGGAAAAGAAGCAAAUUACAACAAGGAGAAUAUUGCUGAGAAAGCAAAGACAAGUGAAAAGUCGAGUGAAGAAAAAGCAAACAAGGCUUCACGAUCUGCAACUAGGCCACUGGCGAUGAAGAAGAAAAAUGUACAGUUAAAGAAGAUACAUUAGUGACCAACUAAAGCUGG